AUUGAACGCUGGCGGCAUGCUUUACACAUGCAAGUCGAACGGUAACAGGCCGCAAGGUGCUGACGAGUGGCGAACGGGUGAGUAAUGCAUCGGAACGUGCCCAGUCGUGGGGGAUAACGCAGCGAAAGCUGCGCUAAUACCGCAUACGAUCUAUGGAUGAAAGCGGGGGACCGAAAGGCCUCGCGCGAUUGGAGCGGCCGAUGUCAGAUUAGGUAGUUGGUGGGGUAAAGGCUCACCAAGCCAACGAUCUGUAGCUGGUCUGAGAGGACGACCAGCCACACUGGGACUGAGACACGGCCCAGACUCCUACGGGAGGCAGCAGUGGGGAAUUUUGGACAAUGGGCGCAAGCCUGAUCCAGCAAUGCCGCGUGCAGGAAGAAGGCCUUCGGGUUGUAAACUGCUUUUGUACGGAACGAAACGGUCCGGGCUAAUACCCUGGGCUAAUGACGGUACCGUAAGAAUAAGCACCGGCUAACUACGUGCCAGCCGCCGCCGUAAUAC
rnacentral:rRNA from 1 species